GACGAACGCUGGCGGCAUGCUUUACACAUGCAAGUCGAGCGGCAGCGCGGGGGCAACUCUGGCGGCGAGCGGCGAACGGGUGAGGAAUACAUCGGAACGUGUCUCGUAAUGGGGGAUAGCCCGGCGAAAGCCGGAUUAAUACCGCAUAUGCUCUACGGAGGAAAGCCGGGGAUCUGUUAAAGGACCUGGCGUUAUGGGAGCGGCCGAUGUCCGAUUAGCUAGUUGGUGGGGUAAAGGCUUACCAAGGCGACGAUCGGUAGCUGGUCUGAGAGGAUGAUCAGCCACACUGGGACUGAGACACGGCCCAGACUCCUACGGGAGGCAGCAGUGGGGAAUUUUGGACAAUGGGGGCAACCCUGAUCCAGCCAUGCCGCGUGCGGGAAGAAGGCC
rnacentral:rRNA from 1 species